GGGGGGGGUAGUGAAUAUUUAAAACUUUCAGUUGAAUAUAAUUUCAUAAAAUUACGUCAGAAAGUAAUGCAUUUUUCAGCUUUUCGAUUAGUGUCAGACUUUUGGACAUGGGCUAGGAAUCAUGAGUAGUUUUUGAACGUGGCGUUCCUUCAAUGAUUCAUGCUCACCACCCACUAUCGAGGAGGUUUAUUAUUUAAUCAAUAAAAACACUGUUUAAAAAUAAAAUCAGUUCUGCAGCUUUUUCAGGAACGUACGAAAUGUAUAAUGACUCCAUUUAUACCACACACUCGACGUUGGCGAAUUCUCCAUUCUGAUUGGCCACAACGUAGGUGUUUCUAUAGUAGCAGCUAAUACUGUGGUGGCACCUAAUCUAAGGUUAGUGAUCUACAGUAUAGGUUCAAAAAAUGUUUUGUUUUAAACAAAUUCAUUUCUUUUUCAUGUCUUUAGUUAGGCAUAAUGGAAUCUUGUCUGUUUAAAAAAAAAAAAAAAAAAAUUGCUUUACCUUUUCAGAAAUUCUGGGAUGGAAAUAGCUCUCGCUGUGGAACCUUUGCACAUGUGCAAAUGAAAGAGGUUUCCUCCCUCCCCCCCGGUCUAAUGCACUGGAUAAUGCAAUAUCCUGAACUGCUCCACCAGCCACUAAAACUCUCAGACGGAUUAUGAAAUGAAGCCCCCCCCCUCUCUUAUUUUUGUUAAAUGUGGAGGUGUUGCUUUUUUCCCUCUCUUUUUAAAAAAAAAAAAAAAAAAAAUUUAUAGAAGAUGAAGAAGAGGCUCUAAGUGCUGUUUUUUUAAUUCUUGAAGCUUUCAACCUUGCAUAAAUGAUUAUAUCAACAGAGUAAUGAAAUUGUAUGUUAAAUUGAAAGCUUUUUGGCGUUUUAGUCCAUUAGGGUUAUAUCUAGGUGUAGGGAUGUUACUGGAUACGAGAACGAUAGAGUUCUGUGGUACUGUGGUGAGGAAACCUGAAAGGAUUUAUGUUUCUCACAUUGUAUAGCGACGCUCUGAAAAUAUUGACCAUGACAAAAUGUAAAAACGCUGAAAAUGAUCAUUUCAUUCCCAAAGGUCCCCCAAUAGUUUUAUCAUUUAUUAUUUAAUAUGCAUAUCCUUUUGAAAAGACAGAUUUGUCAUUCUUGAUGUUUUUAAUUACCGUGGAUACUUCCUCUAAGUAAUUUUUUUUGCGUUCGUUUUAUUGAUUUCAGCACAAUUUUAUUGAGAAAUAUCCUCAAAAAUGCCACAAUAGUCGUUAUGUAAAUUGAUCAAUAAUUUUAGUUUUUUUAAAAAAAUGAAUGCACUAAAUAUUGGUUCUAAACAUAGCCUAGGUGGAGAGUUUCCGUAAACCGCAGAAGGUAAGGCCUGUUUAAAAAAUGUCGUCAUUUAUCACAAACAAAUAUUUGAGUACUUUCAUGAGUUUGAACUAGAUUGAUGUACACGUUUUAUGUGAUGAUUGAUUGAUUGAUUUUUACAUUGUGAAUUUUUAAUAUAGUUCCACUCCUCAUCUGGAUAAUGAAGGCAACCAGCAAAAUACGAAGGUCCAGUCCCUUAGGGUAACUCUGAAAUUACUAGAGAGCUCAGAUGGCAGAAGCUAUUCACAGGUCAACUACAGCCUGGACACUCUACCGUGUCAAGAUGAUUCAGAAUGCAGCAGCACGCCUCGUCUUCAAAGAGCCCAAGAGAACCCUGUCACACCCCUCUUCAUCUCCCUCCACUGGCUUCCUGUAGCCGCCCGCAUCAAAUUCAAGGCCUUGAUGCUCACCUACAAGACCUUGUCUGGAACAGCGCCCCCUACCUCAACACUCUCCUGAAGGCUGACGUUCCCUCACGGGAUCUGCGAUCAAUCAACGACCGACGCUUAGUAGUGCCUACUCAGCGUGGCUCAAGGUUCCUUUCAACAACAUUCACACUAACUGUUCCUCAGUGGUGGAAUGAACUUCCAACCUCAAUCCGGACCACAGAAUCUCUCAGCAUCUUCAAAGAACAGAUAAAGACCCAGCUCUUCCAUUAACACCUAACCAACCCGUAAAAAAAAAAAAACCCUUACUCUGGCGCUUACACCUCUACUCUGUGCACUUUGCUUCUUCUGGAGUGCAAUUAACAGAUCUUGUAUGGUAGCACUGCUUGUAUUGUUCUCUGCUUGAUAUAUCGCUUUGCUUCUAUUUCUAAGUUACUCAUUUCUAAGUUGCUUUGGAUAAAAGCGUCUGCUCAAUGAAUAAAUAAAUAAAUAAAUGAAUAAAUACAUGUAAAUGUCCCAGACUUGUUUCGAUAGCUCUUUGGUCUUCAUGGUGCUUCUUUUAGGUAUUUAGGUAUGCUCUUGGUUCUUCCAGGAAGAGGUGUAUUUUGACAUUGAGAUGGCAUGAUACUUUAAUUCCACACAGGUCGACUUUAUUCGAUUCAGCUCAUUCUGUGACUUCUGAUGGCGGCAGGACUAAUUUCGGAGUUUCACGGCUACAGGGCUAAAUAUUUUAUGCAACCGUGAUUUAUACAAAUUUCUGUUUUCUCUUUUUAAAGUCCGUAUCAUGGAUUCAUUACAUGAUCUCGAUAAGGUCCGUUUCAGUUCAUGACAGUACAAUAUGUGGACGCGUUUAAGGCUAUGCGUACAGCUCUACUUUGUCUAGUCUAGUCUGUUUCUCUGCAUAGUGGCUUUUAUCAGUGGAAAGGAACCUCCAUUACACCACUGCUGA